UACGGAAGGGGCUAGCGUUGUUCGGAAUUACUGGGCGUAAAGAGCGCGUAGGCGGCUUACCAAGUUGGGGGUGAAAUCCCGGAGCUCAACUCCGGAACUGCCUUCAAACCUGGUAGGCUCGAGUCCGGAAGAGGGGCGUGGAAUUCCCAGUGUAGAGGUGAAAUUCGUAGAUAUUGGGAAGAACACCGGUGGCGAAGGCGGCGCCUUGGUCCGGUACUGACGCUGAGGCGCGAAAGCGCGGGGAGCAAACAGG
rnacentral:rRNA from 1 species